UGCAUUUGUAGGUUUGGCUUUGAAGAUG
rnacentral:piRNA from 1 species